AUUCCAGCUCCAAUAGCGUAUAUUAAAGUUGUUGCAGUUAAAAAGCUCGUAGUUGGAGUUCAGAGUGAGCUCAGCUGGUCGGCCUAAUGGGUCAGAACUGGUUGACUCUCUCUUGUUUGUGGGUCUCGCCCGGAGUUAACUCUUCGGAUGUGGAUCCCACAUCGUUUACCUUGAAAAAAUUAGAGUGUUCAAAGCAGGCGUUUGCUUGAAUAUAUUAGCAUGGAAUAAUGGAAUAGGACGCUGGUUCUAUUUUGUUGGUUUUGAGAACCAGAGUAAUGAUUAAUAGGGACAGUUGGGGGCAUUCAUAUUUCAUUGUCAGAGGUGAAAUUCUUGGAUUUAUGAAAGAUGAACUUCUGCGAAAGCAUUUGCCAAGGAUGUUUUCAUUG
rnacentral:rRNA from 1 species